AUUGAACGCUGGCGGCAGGCCUAACACAUGCAAGUCGAACGCGUGGCGGACGGGUGAGUAAUGUCUGGGAAACUGCCCUAUGGAGGGGGGUAACUACUGGACACGGUAGCUAACACCGCAUCCUAUCGGAUGUGCCCAGAUGGGAUUAGCUAGUGGGUGGGGUAACGGCUCCCCUAGGCGACGACCCCUAGCUGGUCUGAGAGGAUGAACAGCCACACUGGAACUGAGACACGGUCCAGACUCCUACGGGAGGCAGCAGUGGGGAAUAUUGCACAAUGGGCGCAAGCCUGAUGCAGCCAUGCCGCGUGUAUGAAGAAGGCCUUCGGGUUGUAAAGUACUUUCAGCGAGGAGGCGUUACUCGCAGAAGAAGCACCGGCUAACUCCGUGCCAGCAGCCGCGGUAAUUC
rnacentral:rRNA from 1 species